GCGAGCUGGAGAGCCCCAGGCGCGCGCACUGGAGGCGGGGUCCCUGGUGGGGAGGUGGUGCUGCAGGGGUUUGUGUGGUGGGAAUUGGCGGUUUCUGGAUCCUUUCUCCAGGAUUUUCAGCGCUGGGGAGCUCUCCUUUCUACAGUGUGGAGGAGCGCUGGGCAGGAGGCAGCGCUGAGCACACGUGUGGAGGACUCCCUAGAAUGGACACCUGCCUCUGAGUGGAUUGCUGGGCCAGAGGCUGACGUGCAUCUGAAACUUGACGAGCUGCAGCCAAAUCAUCCUCUGAAGUUUUAACAAUUUCCAUUCCCGCCAACAGUGUCUGAGUCAUCCUUGCCCUGGGAAUUGUCAGGUCAGCAUUGUCAGAUUUUUAAAGUUUUGCCAAUCUGAUGAGUGAGAAAUGAUGUAUUUGUUUUCCUCUUUGUACAACUGUUUUGACAAAUUCAUAGAGCUGUGCAACUACCAAAAUUGAGAUACAGAACAGUUCCAGCACCCAGAACUCCCUUCAGCUGCUCUUUUGUAGUCAUCUCUUCCCCCACCCUUAACCCCUGGUGACUAAUGAUCUGUUGUCUUUCCCUAUGGUUUGUCUUUUGUAGAAUAUCAUAUAAAUGGAAUCCUACAGUAUUUGGCCUUUUGAGUCUGGAUUCUUUCAUUUAGCACAAUACAUUGAUUUGAGUGUUCA